rnacentral:rRNA from 1 species
AUUGAACGCUGGCGGAAUGCUUUACACAUGCAAGUCGAGCGGCAGCGCGGGGCAACCUGGCGGCGAGCGGCGAACGGGUGAGUAAUGUAUCGGGACGUGUCCUGUCGUGGGGGAUAGCCCGGUGAAAACCGGAUUAAUACCGCAUACGAUCGAGAGAUGAAAGUGGGGGACCGCAAGGCCUCACGCGAUAGGAGCGGCCGAUAUCUGAUUAGCUAGUUGGUGGGGUAAAGGCCCACCAAGGCUUCGAUCAGUAGCUGGUCUGAGAGGAUGAUCAGCCACACUGGGACGGAGACACGGCUAGACUCCUACGGGAGUCAGCAGUGGGGAAUUGUGGACAAUGGGGGCAACCCUUAUCCAGCCAUUCCGCGUGAGUGAAGAAGGCCUUCGGGUUGUAAAGCUCUUUUGUCCGGGAAGAAACGGUUUUGGCUAAUAACCAAGACUACUGACGGUACCGGAAGAGUAAGGACCGGCUAACUACGUGCCAGCCGCCGCGGUAA